UGUCUCCCAUCACUCCCAGAUGGGACCGUCUAGUUGCAGGAAAACAAGCUCAGGGCUCCCACUGAUUCUACAUUAUGAUCAACUGCAUGGGGUCCUACAGGAGAAGACCAAGAGACAGAGACAGAGACCAGGGAAAAUGACCGAUACCAUUCCUUCUCAGGGAUGCUACACACCCAUGGGGCAGAGGAUAAGAGGUUCCUGAAGGCAUCACCCCUCUGGCCAUGGCUGGUGUGCAGACAAAGCUGGAGAUUUGGAGUAGCCUGUUGUCCCACUGACUCUUAGACUGCCCCAGCUAAGAAGAACCAACUCCUCCUAUUACAGAUGAAAUAAACAAAGCUACUCAAGCUCUCUGGCAUCGCCCUGACGGUCAUCAUGUGCUUCACAUUUCCCUCCUGCCCCCCCUGAUUUUCUGGAAAAGGGAGAAACACACCAAAGAGAGUUCUAGAAAAAAUGAGAAUAAGAAAUUUACCUGUAAUCCUUGCUCAAGAAACUGAAGCUCUGAGGCCACAUUGUUCCAGCCUUUUGCAGCUCCUGCAUGUGGAUACCAGCACCAGCAGCUCCCCGACCAGGGGCCCCAGCUAAGCCCUCCCAGAGGAUGAUCUUGGCUUUGUACAUGGGGUGUCAAUAUCCUGUGAGUCCAACAGAGGGAAGACAUAAGAAUAUGGUCACCCAGGUUUUGUACAGAGGAAAUCCAGGCUCCUAACGAUGGCGAAAGAUGGGAAUAAAAGGAUCAGAACACUGAGCUGGAUCUUCAGUUCAUUUCAGGUAUGGAGAAGGGUAAAUGGUCUUUAAAGAAGGCCGACCUCAAUGAAGGUGUCUUCCAAGGCCUUGUCCACUCAAGGACAUGUUGCAUGCCUGAAACUGAGUAUACAGGAAAAGGAUAGAAAUGGAAUAAAAUGGAAACCCAUAAAUCACACUACCCUGCUAUGCAGUUUCAAACCACUGACUUAAUGAAAUGUUGAUCCACUUUGCCAUGGAUGCCCCACUUUUUAACUCCUUCUUCAGAGUCCCAGGAGGUGAGGCUCUUCUGUUUAACUGAUUUGCAGAAUUUUUGCUUCUGCUAUUACAAUGGCUUCCAUAGUUGAGUACCAAAGACACUUUACUAUGGUGCCACAGAGAUCAUUUUGCAGAUGAGGAAACAGACUGUUCUACUACCCAGGCUUUGGUUUUUUCUACUCAGUCUUGCACAAUCUCUCACUCUCAGCCCAGAACAUUGCUGCAUUUUUGUGAGCCAUCAGCAUCCAAAGUGAACACAGGGUCUAAAUAACUGAAGAUGGCAUGAGGGAACACACAAUCAGGUCUUUAAAAAAAGAAGAAAGUGAAUAGGCAAACUGAACAGGACAUCUAGGACUGAAAAGCCUCUGUGAACAACUGGACUCAAUAUGAAAUUGGCGUGAGCUCACAGAAGACCAGCUGAGUUCCAGAUGUGGUUGGGUAGCUUGGGUUAUGGGCCCGUAUAAAAAAAAUGGUCUCUUCUUGUAAAAGGAAUUCAAAAAAAGACUAAAAGUCA
rnacentral:lncRNA from 1 species